rnacentral:rRNA from 1 species
GACGAACGCUGGCGGCGUGCUUAACACAUGCAAGUCGAACGGAAAGGCCCUGCUUUUGUGGGGUGCUCGAGUGGCGAACGGGUGAGUAACACGUGAGUAACCUGCCCUUGACUUUGGGAUAACUUCAGGAAACUGGGGCUAAUACCGGAUAGGAGCUCCUGCUGCAUGGUGGGGGUUGGAAAGUUUCGGCGGUUGGGGAUGGACUCGCGGCUUAUCAGCUUGUUGGUGGGGUAGUGGCUUACCAAGGCUUUGACGGGUAGCCGGCCUGAGAGGGUGACCGGCCACAUCGGGACUGAGAUACGGCCCAGACUCCUACGGGAGGCAGCAGUGGGGAAUAUUGCACAAUGGGCGGAAGCCUGAUGCAGCAACGCCGCGUGCGGGAUGACGGUCUUCGGGUUGUAAACCGCUUUCGCCUGUGACGAAGCGUGAGUGACGGUAAUGGGUAAAGAAGCACCGGCUAACUACGUG